UACCAGCUCUCCGAGUGGUAGGGAUGAUUAUUGGGCUUAAAGCGUCCGUAGCUGGCUUUUCAAGUCUCUUGUUAAAUCCAGCGAUUCAAUCGUUGGACCGCGGGAGAUACUGCUAGGCUAGGAGGCGGGAGAAGCCGACGGUAUUCCCGGAGUAGGGGUAAAAUCCUAUAAUCCCGGGAAGACCACCAGUGGCGUAGGCGGUCGGCUAGCACGCGCUCGACGGUGAGGGACGAAAGCUGGGGGAGCGAACCGGAUUAGAUACCCGGGUAGUCCCAGCUGUAAACGAUGCGGACUAGGUGUUGAAGCGGCUACGGGCCGCUUCAGUGCCGCAGGGAAGCCAUUAAGUCCGCCGCCUGGGGAGUACGGCCGCAAGGCUGAAACUUAA
rnacentral:rRNA from 1 species